AACGAUUGCAGGGAUCGCGGCAAACACAGCAAGGCGAUAUAUCGAGAGAAGUUUUGCAGAUAGGUGAGAAAUAUGCCUGGCUAGCACCUUCAGCCUUGACAGACCUGUGACCACAACUUCGGGCAUGUUCCUCGUGGUGGGGCCGUGUGGUGGUGGAAAAUCGACCCUGAUACGGCAGCUGCAGACUGGUCAGUCCAUGAGUCAACUGAACGUCACCUUGCCCACUGUCGGCUCCAACAUUACCGACCUCCAUUUUGACAAGACCAAGAAGCCUAUGGCCUACGGUGCGCGAGCUAGGUGGUUGCAUGAGCCCGCUGUGGCCGGUGUACUACACCAAUGAUCUGAAGGGUAUUAUCUACGUCAUUGAUGCCUCGGACGUGACGCAGACGGCUUGUAGCGCAGUGUUGCUGAUCGAGCUCCUGGAGCAUCCCCAGUUGCAAGGGACUAAGGUUCGGGCGUGAGCGUGCGCCGUCCAUGGCCUACAUCGUGGAGUUCUCGUCAAGGCCGGGCUGCUUCGUCACCUUGCCGCCGGCGGCGCUGCGGUCGGCCGACCCGCGGCCGACGUUCCUCGCCCGAACGGCCGACGGUCGCGCCCUCUACCUGACGUGCAGCGCGUGGACGGCGCCGGCCGGCCGCGUGCAGUUGCACCGCCACCUUGCGCGCUGC